AUUGAACGCUGGCGGCAGGCCUAACACAUGCAAGUCGAGCGGAGCGGCGGACGGGUGAGUAAUGCCUAGGAAUCUGCCUGGUAGUGGGGGAUAACGUCCGGAAACGGGCGCUAAUACCGCAUACUAUCAGAUGAGCCUAGGUCGGAUUAGCUAGUUGGUGGGGUAAAGGCCUACCAAGGCGACGAUCAGUAGCGGGUCUGAGAGGAUGAUCCGCCACACUGGGACUGAGACACGGCCCAGACUCCUACGGGAGGCAGCAGUGGGGAAUUUUGGACAAUGGGCGCAAGCCUGAUCCAGCCAUGCCGCGUGUCUGAAGAAGGCCUUCGGGUUGUAAAGGACUUUAAGUUGGGAGGCGUUACCAACAGAAUAAGCACCGGCUAACUUCGUGCCAGCAGCCGCGGUAAUUC
rnacentral:rRNA from 1 species